AGUGAACGCUGGCGGUAGGCCUAACACAUGCAAGUCGAACGGCAGCACAGUAAGAGCUUGCUCUUACGGGUGGCGAGUGGCGGACGGGUGAGGAAUACAUCGGAAUCUACUUUUUCGUGGGGGAUAACGUAGGGAAACUUACGCUAAUACCGCAUACGACCUACGGGUGAAAGCAGGGGAUCUUCGGACCUUGCGCGAUUGAAUGAGCCGAUGUCGGAUUAGCUAGUUGGCGGGGUAAAGGCCCACCAAGGCGACGAUCCGUAGCUGGUCUGAGAGGAUGAUCAGCCACACUGGAACUGGGACACGGUCCAGACUCCUACGGGAGGCAGCAGUGGGGAAUAUUGGACAAUGGGCGCAAGCCUGAUCCAGCCAUACCGCGUGGGUGAAGAAGGCCUUCGGGUUGUAAAGCCCUUUUGUUGGGAAAGAAAAGCAGCAGGUUAAUACCCCGCUGUUCUGACGGUGCCCAAAGAAUAAGCACCGGCUAACUUCGUG
rnacentral:rRNA from 1 species